UGUACACCGAUGAGGGAGAAGAGUAAUGAAGAUCGUCUAUGGACAGAGAAGAAAUGCCGUUGGCUGUAAGCGUUUCUACAUGGAACUUCAUGAAUGAACACUCCUUAGGUAUUUCUCUGAAAAAUAAGUAGUACUUUAAGUAGGAGAAAUCGUAAUCAGGCGUUAACUGAUCGAGAGGAAGCCAUUUGUGCUUCAACUAGGGUGGUACCACGGGAUUCAAACUCUCGUCCCUGAC
rnacentral:ncRNA from 1 species